rnacentral:rRNA from 1 species
CGGGGGGGGCAAGCGUUGUUCGGAAUUACUGGGCGUAAAGGGUCUGUAGGUGGCUUGCUAAGUCAGACGUGAAAUCCCUCAGCUUAACUGGGGAACUGCGUCUGAGACUGGCGAGCUUGAGUGCAGGAGAGGAACGCGGAAUUCCAGGUGUAGCGGUGAAAUGCGUAGAUAUCUGGAGGAACACCGGUGGCGAAGGCGGCGUUCUGGACUGCAACUGACACUGAAAGACGAAAGCCAGGGGAGCAAACGGGAUUAGAUACCCCGGUAGUCCUGGCCCUAAACGAUGAAUGCUUGGUGUGGCGGGUAUCGAUCCCUGCCGUGCCGAAGUUAACGCGUUAAGCAUUCCGCCUGGGGAGUACGGUCGCAAGGCUG